UCUUCUGCAUGCUCUAUUUUAUCAUUGACUUUAUUCAGUUUCAUCCAAUUUCUAUUUAUUUUUUUUGGGCAUGUUUGGUGUUAGAUUUAAACGGGUCUAAAUGGAGCAGAAUGGGAAUGAAAAGAGCAGCGUACUACAACUGUGUACCCCAAAUGCAGGAUCAUUGGCCUAUCAAAAAGGCUCUGACAUUGUCUGAUGUUGAUAUCACUCAUCCAUUCCUCACUUUGUCUCGGCAACAAGUGGAAACCCACAUUGUGUUGCAUAUGACAACAGAACAACAGGAGCAUUUGAGAGCCCAAGGCCAAGUAGAUUUUAAUGCCCGAGAUGAUGAUACAGGUGAGAUGUAUGUGAUGAAGUUGAAAUGGCGGGGAAGCUAUUACAAUCUUAUUGGUAAGUGGGGCAGAGUUGUACGAGGGAAAGGACUUGAUGUAGGGCAAGAGAUUAAAAUAUGUUGGGAAAAUGGGUGCUUGCACUUCUCGGUCCCACAGCAGCAGAUUGUUGCAGUCCCGCCAAUUCGGAUGGUUGCAGCACCAGUAGUGCAGGACCACUGGCCCAUUAAGAAGAUCUUGACGCUCUCCGAUGUGGACACUAAUCAUCCAUUUCUCCCUCUGCCCUGUCGAUUAGUUGAGGAUCAUAUCCUUGUGCAUUGGACACCUCAGCAACAAGAACAGCUGAGAAAGGAGGACCAUGUGAUUGUAAAUGCCCGAGAUUAUGAUACUGGCGAAGGUUAUAUAAUGAAAUUUAAGUGGAGGGGGAAUUACUAUAACCUUAUUGGGAAAUGGGGAACAAUAAUUCGGCAGAAGGGACUUGGUGUUGGGAAAGAGAUCAGAUUGCGCUGGACAAAUGAAUGCUUGUUCUUCUCAGUUCCCCAGGGGCGGUAUGUUGCCACAGCCUCGGCAAUGGAUAACUGGCCUAUUAAGAAGGCACUUACAUUGUCUGAUGUGGAUACCAAUCAUCCAUUUCUUACUUUGCCCGGCAAGGCUGUUGAAGAUCAUAUUCUUUUUUACUGGUCACAGCAAGCCAGAGAGCAACUGAGAAAUGAACAUCAGAUGAAUAUUAAUGCUCGAGAUGAUGACACUGGUGAUGCCUAUUUGAUGAAGUUGAGAUGGCGGGGGAGUUACUAUAAUCUCAUUGGAAAAUGGGGAAAAAUCAUUAGAGGGAAGAAACUUCAAGUUGGAAUGGAGAUCAGACUACACUGGGAUAAUGGAUGCUUAUUCUUCUCAGUUCCUCAGCUAUAGCAUUGGCCAACCUGUAAAUUUAGGUGAACCACCAAAUGGCUUCUCCCAUUUCAACAUGGAAUGUGCAUUGGAAAUUAAACUAUUUCAGGCGAAUGGCUUGGCAGAGCUGGAUUUAAAUCUAUCCAGGCAGCAAGUGACUGACCAAGCACAAAUUUUAUCAGUUUGUGCCCAGUCAAACACCUCCACAGAAAAUUGGAUGGAGAGUAAUAUUUCCUUUGAAGUUGGGUGGAGGUAUCAAUGUGGAGAAAAUUCGUUCGCAGUCCCAAACAGUGCAUUUCCAAUCUGCCACUUCUCUGCAGGACCAAAGCAAAUGCGUAUGUAGGCCAAAUAGGAUUUGGGUUAGUGUGUUACUGUUGGAGAAAUAUGUUCAGUCCCCAGACAUUGCAUUUUCCAACCUGCCACUUGUCUAGAAGACCAGUUGAAGACAAAUGUGGGAUGAAGCAGUACUUUCUGCGAGAAGACAGCUCUUUAAGAUUUCAAAGACAAAUUACCCAUGCUAUAGGUGAAACCUGGUCAACUGGAUUUUGUCUGGACCAACAGAUUGUCUCUGGUGAGCCUUCUGCUGCAGAUUGCACGCAUAUAUUUUCUGUUCAACGAUAAUAACUAGAUGAUUCCAGCUACUUGGAAGUUUUCAAGCCAGUCAUAAUCCUUGAUGAGCUGUUACAACUGCAGUCAAUAUGACCUCGACCUUUGCUUUUGCUGAGAAAGGACAGUUGCUUUCUACCUGAUGUUUAUUAAUUGGUUCUUUAGUACAACCAAUUGGAUAUUCUUGUUUUGUGGGAAUUCCUUUCUUACCAAAAAUUAUUAGGAACCUCGUAGGUUUUGGGCCCUCAAAGGAGAAAUUCGGGAAGCCCUCAGGGUUGUCGUCUAUUGGUAAGAGCACAACGAGUGAUGUUUGGAUUAGGUGCACGUCACAAGUUCGAACUCUGCCGCAGGCAAAAUCCUAGUAUUUAAGUGGAGAAGGGUUAAUGUACAGGUCCAUUAUUCAUCGAGCUUCAGACCGUGCACCAGUUGGCUCUCGAAAUUUUUUCAGUUGUCAACAAAAACAGAAGAGAUUUUGGGAGCAUAUACCUGUGAAAAGGAAGGGUACAUAAUUUCUGCAUUCAAAAACUGGUAAAGCUAGGGUAUCAGAAGGUGACUGCAUCAUAGGAGUUAUUUGCUGUCAUUAGUCUGCUGAAACUGAAAGCAGUAGACCCGAAUACAGGAUUUGAUCAAAUUGCUUCUCUACCUGCAAGAGUUUUUUGCAUCUGCUGAUGUAUCCAAGUAAGCAUCAAGUUUCAUUAAAGUGACUUAGGCUGCCGGCCGACAGCUGUUGUUUCAUUCUGUGUGUUCCCUUAAGUAGUGAUGUUUUCUUGAUCAUGAUUAGUUAGGAUAUUAUUCGAUUGUGAUAUAUCAGGACCAAAGCUGUACCAUGAAGGAUAAGGUUAAGAAUGUUGUUUGUCUUUAUAAUUUAUGGUUUUGCUAGGAGAAGAUUGAGAAGAGCAUACAUCUAAACAGGAAGUAUGCUAAUUGCCUAAUGAACAUUUCCCCUUGUAAUAUUGGACAAGAAAGCUCAAGAGCCAAAAAUGUCUAGUGGCAUA